rnacentral:rRNA from 1 species
AUUGAACGCUGGCGGCAGGCCUAACACAUGCAAGUCGAGCGGAUGAGUGGAGCUUGCUCCAUGAUUCAGCGGCGGACGGGUGAGUAAUGCCUAGGAAUCUGCCUGGUAGUGGGGGACAACGUUUCGAAAGGAACGCUAAUACCGCAUACGUCCUACGGGAGAAAGUGGGGGAUCUUCGGACCUCACGCUAUCAGAUGAGCCUAGGUCGGAUUAGCUAGUUGGUGAGGUAAAGGCUCACCAAGGCGACGAUCCGUAACUGGUCUGAGAGGAUGAUCAGUCACACUGGAACUGAGACACGGUCCAUACUCCUACGGGAGGCAGCAGUGGGGAAUAUUGGACAAUGGGCGAAAGCCUGAUCCAGCCAUGCCGCGUGUGUGAAGAAGGUCUUCGGAUUGUAAAGCACUUUAAGUUGGGAGGAAGGGCGGUAAGUUAAUACCUUGCUGUUUUGACGUUACCAACAGAAUAAGCACCGGCUAACUUCGUGCCAGCAGCCGCAGUAACAC